AUGGGGCUGGUGAUUGGAGUAAGUGUGUUUCUGAUCUUGGGGAUUAUGACUAAUGCUAAGACCACCCAGAUCAACUUCCAGGAUCAUGCUGAAGGCGAAGAUGUAAACCUGCACUGUAACCACUCUACCAUUGGUGGAAAUGAGUAUGUGCACUGGUAUUGGCAAAAUUCCAAUCAGAGUCCACAGUAUAUAAUUCACGGCUUAAGAGACACUGUGAUUAAGAGCAUGGCCUCUCUGACUAUCACAGCACACAGGAAGUCCAGUACCUUGACCCUGCGCCGGGUUACCCUGAGAGACGCCGCUGUGUACUACUGUGUGAGAACCAAGGGAGGAAUGACUGGUAAACUCACAUUUGGAAAAGGAACCAAACUGUCCGUAAUGUCUGAUAUCAAGAACCCCAACCCCGCAGUGUACCAGCUGAAAAGCCCUAAAUCCAGCAACACUUCCGUCUGUCUAGCCACUGAUUUUGAUUCUCAAAACAAUGUGCCAGAAGUCACAGAUUCCUUAGCAUACAGCUCCAACAGCACCGUGCUGGACAUGAAGGCCAUGGACUCCAAGAGCAACGGGAUGCUGGCCUGGAGCAGCCGCAUCGAUUUUAAAUGCGAAGACGCCUUCAACCAGAUCUUCCACCCUAACUCAGAAUUGCCCUGUGAUUCCAAGUUGGCAGAGCAAAGCUUUGAAACAGAUAUGAACCUAAACUUCCAAAACCUGUCGGUGAUUGGGUUCCGCCUCCUCCUUCUGAAAGUGGUCGGGUUCAACCUGCUCAUGACGCUGCGGCUAUGGUCCAGCUGAGGUCGCCAAGAAUGUAAGAGCAAGACGCUCCCUGGCUCCCUGCCUCUCAUCACCCCACCCCUGCCUCUUCAAGCAGAGGUGCACUCUCUGCCCCCCUGGAGGGGAAGGUCCUUCCAACCUCUCUGGCCCCACUGGCAAUGCCACCAACUGGAUCCUACCAGAUAUUUGUGAUCAAGAUGCUGAAGAGCUGCCAAAUGCUGCUGUCACCCACUCUGUUCCCUCACUGCUACUUGUCACAGCCCCACAUUGCCAGAAAAGGCCGGGGCUGAAGCCCCUCCUGGCUGUGGCAUAACUCCCUAUCCCUCCCCCAGAGACUGCCUCUGAUGUUCCACUGCAUGGGGGAUCCCCAGUGGGGUGUCUGGGGCCCUAGCUCCUGGAGAAUGUUGUGACUGGUUUAUAUUUUUUUAAUAGUGUUCAUGAAAAAAUACAUAUCACUCUUUUCCCAAGAUGUGGGGGAAAUUAUCCCAUUAUCUAGGCCCUGCUAUGCUGUGUCUCUCAGCCCCAUUGUAUAUUCUGCUGUCAUGGCUUCAUUAAAAGCAGCUUGGAGGAGAA